GGCAGAGAGAGCGGUAGUAGGAGACAGGGAGGGAGGGAGUGAUGAAACAAACAAAAAAGUUGUGUAACGUAUCUUUACUCCAGACCUACAGCUAGGCUCAAUGUUCCUCACCUGCCCCAGACCUACAGCUAGGUUCAAUGUUCCUCACCUGCCCCAGACCUACAGCUAGGCUCAAUAUUCCUCACCAGCCCAAACCUACAGCUAGGUUCAAUGUUCCUCACCUGCCCCAGACCUACAGCUAGGUUCAAUGUUCCUCACCAGCCCAAACCUACAGCUACGUUCAAUGUUGUUUGUUUAUUCAAUGUGCUAGGUUCAAUGUUCCACACCGUCCCCAGACCUACAGCUAGGCUCAAUGUUCCUCACCUGCCCCAGACCUACAGCUAGGCUCAAUGUUCCUCACCAACCCAAAGAGUGCUGUACAAACACACAGAACAUACAGGCACAUGUAGGGUUGCAAAAUUCCUGGAACGUUCAAUACACUUCCAGGUUUUCCAGAAAUAGUGAUGAGAGGAUUCUGUAUUUCCUGCUUAUUCCCUCCUGAUUUCGGGAAUCCUUCAAACCGGGAUUUUGGGAGAACCAGGGAAUUUAUUGAAUGUUCCAGGAAUUUUGCAACCCUACGUGUGCGUUUGUUUGGAGGAAGGUGAAUGGUUGCUAGAGAGGGAAAAUGAGCUGAACAGGAUGGGAAGCAGACAGACGGAUACAAGGAGAGAGAGAGAGAGAGAUAAAGAUGGAUGGUUCUCCGUCUCCCUACAUUAUAGUGUCUGCUAAAUAAAGGAGUAGGGGCUGAUCAUAACAACAAAAGAAUAGGGGGGUUGUUUAAAAGUGUACCCUUUCUGCUUACCGGCGUGAUUUACUUGUGGCGAAGAGCCGUGCCAAAUAAGUAGCUAGCUAGCAGGGGAUAUUUAUUGUCAGCCUGAUGGGGAUGUCAAGCCAACUCUCCCCAACAUCUCCCCAGCUUUCAGAGAAGACCUUGCUUCAGGCAACACUACAGUACACACGUACACCCACACGCUCAGCUAAAGGAACUCAAAAGUUAUCUUUGGAAAUGAAUCACUCCCUUUUAUCGUCACAUUAAUUUGUAGGAAGGUUGAAAUGAGCAUUAGCUUUCAUUGCCUUCAGAAGGUGUUCACAGCCAUGGACUUUUUCCACAUUUUGUUGUGUUACAAGGUGGGAUUUAAUUGUCGUUUUUUGUCAACGACCUACACAAAAUGAUCCAAUGUCAAAGUGAAAUAAAAAGUCUAACAUUUGUAAACCUUUUAUGAAAAACAAAUUGCUAAAAUGUCAUGAUUACAUAAGUAUUCAACUCCCUGAGUCAAUACAUGUUACAAUCACUUUUGGCAGCGAUUUACAUCUGUGAGUCUUUCUGGGUAACAUUAGCUUGUAGUGUAGCUGUUGUGUUUGUGGCACCAAGGGCACACAGUACAGUACAGACAGCUAGCUAUCUGGUGGGUGCUGUUGGUUGGUGGACUGCGUGUGCCUUUUCUCCACACAGCUGUCAGUGGGGCUGCAUGGGAUCUGUCAGCACACAAUCUGCAUCUGCACUCUCACUCUGUAACACACACCCAACACAACAUCACUGUGUGUGUCAGUGUGUGCAGG
ensembl:lncRNA